rnacentral:rRNA from 1 species
CGGUUAACGGGGGAUUAGGGUUCGAUUCCGGAGAGGGAGCCUGAGAAACGGCUACCACAUCUAAGGAAGGCAGCAGGCGCGCAAAUUACCCAAUUCUAACAGCAUAAGAGAGGUAGUGACAAGAAAUAACAGUACAAGGCAGUUAAAAUGCUUUGUAAUUGGAAUGAUAGAAAUUUAAACACUUUUUAAAGUAUCAAUUGGAGGGCAAGUCUGGUGCCAGCAGCCGCGGUAAUUCCAGCUCCAAUAGCGUAUAUUAAAAUUGUUGCAGUUAAAAAGCUCGUAGUUGAAUUUCUGCUAAAAAUAACCGGUUUGCUUUUAUUAAUAAAAGUGGUAUCUUGGUGUGUUUUUAGCAAUAAUGUCCUUUGAAGUGUUUUUUACUUUAUUGUAAGAAGCAAUAUUCAGGAUUUUUACUUUGAGAAAAUUAGAGUGUUUCAAGCAGGCUAACGUUUUGAAUACUGCAGCAUGGAAUAAUAAAAUAGGAUUUUGGUUCUACAUUAUUGGUUUUAAGAA